AGAGUUUGAUCCUGGCUCAGGACGAACGCUGGCGGUAUGCUUAACACAUGCAAGUCGAACGAGACAAAAGAGAAGUGCUUGCACGGAUCUUUUAGAAAGUGGCGAACGGGUGAGUAACGCGUGGGUAACCUGCCCUAUGGAAAGGAAUAGCCUCGGGAAACUGGGAGUAAUGCCUUAUAAUAUAGUGAAGUCGCAUGGCU
rnacentral:rRNA from 1 species